AUAGUGAAAUAGUCCCGUGAGGGAAAGGUGAAAAGAACGCCGAGAAGGCGAGUGAAAUAGUACCUGAAACCGUGUGCUUACAAGCGGUCGGAGUCUGCAUUUAUGUGGAUGACGGCGUGCCUUUUGUAUAAUGAGCCUACGAGUUACUCCUGUUGUGCGAGGUUAAGCCCCUGAGGGGUGGAGCCGUAGCGAAAGCGAGUCUGAACAGGGCGCGCAGUACAGCGGGGUAGACGCGAAACCAAGUGAUCUAUCCAUGGUCAGGGUGAAGCGGUGGUAAGACACCGUGGAGG
rnacentral:rRNA from 1 species